CUCAUACGAAUAGAGAUAGAUGUUCCUGGAUGGAGAAUUCCUCACGUCACCUGCAACUCCAACUGUUGCUCGGCUUCACCACGUUCAACUCCCAGGAAAACCCCCAGCCAUCACCUGCCCCAGCGUUCGCUCUCCAUGUUUCCUAGCCCCAGCGGCCAGCCUGUCCUUGCUCGUUUCCAAGCUGUGCUCUAGCAAGCUUCUCUGUAGUUCUUCCCCAACUGCUCGCUCUCAGCCUGUGAGUGUCCUGCUCCCUCACGUAAAAGCAGCUCGGCCCUCUGCACCUGUCGUCGAUUCUGUUAUGUCCCAACCUCCGGUCUCUGCUCGUCCUUGCCUAGGUCCGGUCCUGCGUACUUCAACACUGUUCUACAGCCGUCUGAGCUCCACCUCGUCGUCGACCUGUUGUUUCAGCGUCGUAUCCCUCGACUUCAUCACAGCAUCACCGGUGCUCUCGUCGUCGUUGAGCUCUUGGCGCGACGUGACGUCAUCGUCGUUUUCUCGCCAGUCAUGCUCGACCCACAGCUCCUUCGCGUCAUCGUCUUCGACAACCCACAACCUCUGCUCUAACCUCAUCGCACUCGCGGAAUCGUCGUGAAGCCGCUAGCCGUCUGCCUCGUCCUCACACCCGACAAGCUGUCGUGCUCGGUGUGUUUUCUCCGUGCGGCCUUACGUGUUCCUCUCGCUUCAUCGGCUUGUCGCGUGUUAGAGCAGAGCUCCAUGAAGAAGUGGACAUCAAAGAGAAAUUGCUCCAGUACUUGAAUACCCAUUGGUGUGGUUCCAUCUAACUGGUUAUCUAGUAGAAGGAUUUUGGAUCUUCUCUGCAACAAAG